GAUGAACGCUGGCGGCGUGCCUAAUACAUGCAAGUCGAGCGAAUGGAUUAAGAGCUUGCUCUUAUGAAGUUAGCGGCGGACGGGUGAGUAACACGUGGGUAACCUGCCCAUAAGACUGGGAUAACUCCGGGAAACCGGGGCUAAUACCGGAUAACAUUUUGAACCGCAUGGUUCGAAAUUGAAAGGCGGCUUCGGCUGUCACUUAUGGAUGGACCCGCGUCGCAUUAGCUAGUUGGUGAGGUAACGGCUCUCCAAGGCAACGAUGCGUAGCCGACCUGAGAGGGUGAUCGGCCACACUGCGACUGAGACACGGCCCAGACUCCUACGGGAGGCAGCAGUAGGGAAUCUUCCGCAAUGGACGAAAGUCUGACGGAGCAACGCCGCGUGAGUGAUGAAGGCUUUCGGGUCGUAAAACUCUGUUGUUAGGGAAGAACAAGUGCUAGUUGAAUAAGCUGGCACCUUGACGGUACCUAACCAGAAAGCCACGGCUAACUACGUGCCAGCAGCCGCAGUAA
rnacentral:rRNA from 1 species